GCUGAAGAAAAGGAACUCCUUUAAUCUCCUGUCAUGUUUCUGAGGUACUGCUAUCAAGAUGCUAUCAAAUAUAAUCUCUUAAGUUUUGUCAGUUCAAAUUAUCUUUCCACCAUCAAACUGUCAUUGCCAGCAAGAUAUUGAUUCAAGACAAAUUUCUCCUGCCCAAUUAAGAUGAUUCUCCUGGAGGAGCAUGAACUGAUCAAUAUUGUCUAUGAAUUGACUCCCUUCAGCCUCAUUCAGACCCCAAGACCCAUUUAAUCUAGUAAAUGAAUGCAUACAGACAAGGUAUUAGCUAUUAAUUAAUUUUGAUGACAGUCCUGUAUUCAUCUUUUGUUUUGCAGUAAAAAAGAUUCCCUCGACUCCAAAAGAAGAGGUUUC
rnacentral:lncRNA from 12 species